rnacentral:lncRNA from 1 species
UGUUCGCGUCUGAGACCUACCCGAAACCCGUUUGGGAGCCAAAGUACCCAAAAUGUUUGUGUAUAUUAGAUAUAUUUGUGUAUUUUGGAUAUGUUUUUGGUAUACAUAUAUUUUUAAGUUUUUGGUUUGAAUUUCCGGUUAUAGUUUUGGAUUUCGAGUAAAAAUUCAAAUUUUAAAAGUAUAUAUUUUGGGUAUUCAGAUAUAAUUUUGGGUAUUUUUUGGUUCCUUGGUAGAUUUUGGAUAUUUUUCGUGUUUCGAGUAUUUUUAUGUUUAUCGAGUUUUAUUUGAGUCCUAAAUAUCUGAACGGAUCCAUACCCGUUACGUACAAAAAAUAAUAUAUAUUUUA